CUGGAGAGUGUGAUGGCUGUCCUGGAUUGUCAACUGGACUACAUCCAGAAAUGGAAGGCACACUUGAAAGAGAUUCUGCUUGAUUUGAAAUGGGUAAAUCAACUUCUAGUCCGGACCUUUGAGGUAGGAAGUCACCAAUGAUCCAGAUCUCAAGCAGGGAAGGCACACACCUUUUAUUUGAAUCUUCAAGUGGGAAGACAUACCUUUAAUUUGGGCCACAUCUGCUGUGUAAGGGCUUGGAAGGAAGAUUUUUGACUGCUUGCUCUUGCCCUUGCUAGCAAGUCCAUUUCUUCACUGGCAUUAGGGCUUACUUCUUCAAGAUUCCAGUGUCUACUGAAGACCAGCUGAGACAUCCAGCCUUGUAGACUGAGCAACUUCUAGAUUGUUGGACUUUCCAUUCAUAGCCUGCCAAUAUCGGAUUGGUUGAUCCAUACCCUAGAGUUAGAGGCACUUGGCUGCAUGGCAGGUGUCCUGUCUGGUGUCCUGUCCUCCUUGAGGGAGCAGCUAUUGUCUUUGCUUCAAAAAAUCAACUCCUACUGAAGCUCUUUGUUUGUCUAAGAAGAUGGAUGACUUCUGGGAUCAUGGAAUUCAAGGGCACCAGCGCUCACCAAUUCCUACAGAUAUCAAACAAGUCACCUGCUACUCAUAUUUCAGAUACAAAUGAAAUCAGACAGAGUCUUUACCCAUUCUAACUUCCUGGUGGGAUUUUACUCCAUCCUGUUGUCCUACUCACCCCAGAGCCAAGACCUAAGCAACUAAGGACAGCCCCUAUGCCUGUGAUCCUGGGCAUACCAUUCAACUAGCUUCUUACCUGCCACUUCCUAGCCAAUUCUUCCUCAUGGAAACCACUGUGACGCUUUUGCCCACACAUCCCUGUUGCUCAUACUACCGUCUAAAUGCCGGAAGUGCUUCUCUUUAUACCCUCCCCCAUGGCAUAGUGACCUCUUAUUUCUUGCAAUUUCUGCAUAACCAGUAAUUUUAACACUGGCAAUUGUUUUCUGAUCUGGUGUCCUCACUAUGCUGAGUAACAAUGAAAGUGAGUUAAAGACAGUUAUCUCCAGAAUUUUUCACUAGGAAGCCUCAUUCAUUUAAGGAAGUCAGGAAUGGAGGCCUUUCUGUUUUCGUAAGUUGUGAC
rnacentral:lncRNA from 1 species